rnacentral:rRNA from 1 species
AUUGAACGCUAGCGGGAUGCUUUACACAUGCAAGUCGAACGGAGUGGCGAACGGGUGAGUAAUGUAUCGGAACGUGCCCAGUAGCGGGGGAUAACUACGCGAAAGCGUAGCUAAUACCUCAUACUAUUGGAGCGGCCGAUAUCGGAUUGGCUAGUUGGUGAGGUAACGGCUCACCAAGGCGACGACCCGUAGCUGGUUUGAGAGGAAGACCAGCCACACUGGAACUGAGACACGGCCCAGACUCCGACGGGAGGCAGCAGUGGGGAAUUUUGGACAAUGGGGGCAACCCUGAUCCAGCCAGCCCGCGUGUGCGAUGAAGGCCUUCGGGUUGUAAAGCACUUUUGGCAGGAAAGCGGUACCUGCAGAAUAAGCACCGGCUAACUCCGUGCCAGCAGCCGCGGUAAUUC